AAAAAUUGUUGCCUGUUGAAUGUCAAUCUUACAAGCUGUUUUGACAGGCAAGUUCCGUUAAUUGGUUGGUAAGCCAAUAAGCGUUUGAUGACUAGAAAUAUGAUAUCUGAGCAGAUUAACUACACAUUCUUUGCUUUCGUUUUUCGAGCUUUCUCUUUUUAAGUGACUUCAAGGCAAACCAUAUCGAUUCUUCGGUGUAUUCUACGGUGAUACGUGAUAUUUAAUUAAACCAACUUGGGGUGUUCAAAUUUGUAAGAUGGCUGAGAUUCAAGCAGUUAAAUCAGUUUGCGUUUCAUGCAAGAAGGAAUGUGGAAGCCAUUUUUGCAAAGUUUGCAAAAAAACGUGCCACGCAAUUCCGCCUUGCUCAACAUCAGCAGGUGAUGAUGAAGGUUUUGGUGCCCAGGUCUUGUGUAGUG